UACCUGUUCAAACAAACAACCCGACGGUGCUGGCCGGAGAGACGAUGCGCCCGCCGGCGUAGCUGCAGUACCUGCGCCUCAACGGCAACUCCUGGAUCUGCGACUGCCGCGCCCAGUCCCUGUGGGGCUGGUUCAGGCAGUUCAAGGGCUCCUCCUCCGACCUCGAGUGCCACCUGCCUCCGCGCCUGGCCGGGAGGGACCUCAAGCGGCUCCACGCCGCCGACCUGGAGGGCUGCGCCGACCCCGUGGGCCAGGUGUGGCCGGGGCCGAAGGCCCGACCCGGCCGGGGGCCCACCGCGGAGCCCCCGGACGGCCCUCUGAAGUGCUGCCAGCCCGAGGCGGACAAGUCUUUCAUGUACGAGGCCACGGGCCACGGCGGACCCCAGUACGGCAGCCUCCCCGCCGGCAACGGCCGCAAGGACAAGGAAAACAUGUCCAAACCCAAGUCGGCAGAGUCGGACGCUGCCAAAAACGCCAGCCAGAAGCACAUCAACGACUCGCCCUUCGGGACUUUCCCCAGCAACGUGGAGAUCCCUCUGACCAACUUCCAGCCGGAUCUCCUGGAGCCUGGGGAGUCUUCCGUGGCACCCCCUCGGCGGAGGCCUGGCUGCUCCCGAAAGAACCGGACCAAGGCCCAGUGCCGCACGGGCCCCACGGGCGGCGGCAGUGGUGGUGGCAGUGGCAGCAGCGGCGGCCUCCGUGCCCCCGCGCAGCCCGGCCUGGCCCUCGGCUUGGCUGUCUCAGUGGCUCUGCUCUGGACUUUGCCGUGGUCCUCUUAAUGGCUCCCGAGGAAGACUAGCACCUGCCACUGUGGCUGGGGCCACCCUGGAGGCUGGGGCCACAGGGGAACUGGAGGCCUUUACGGAGAAACCAGGUGUGGAUAAAGCGCAUCUCCAGCCCCCCAGCAGGGGAAUGAAGGGAAAAGGUCUCCCCCAGAAUGUUUCAGCACACGCGCACUCACACACUCACACGCACACACAACUUUUCAGACAAAACAAAACAAAACAAAAUCUCCCCAAGGUUGUUUCUAAGUUGGAAUCCUCCCGAACGGUGUCGCAAGUUCCCAUUUGCCAAGGCAGCGUGCUCGCUGCUCUCCGGAAGCCUGUCUCUGAAUAUUGCUGUCCACCAUCCCCAUCUCCAUCAAACCAUGUUUACAGGGGGCAUCGGUUCCAGAAUGCUGCUUCCUACUCAGACUGCAGUCUAUAUACAAAUAUACAUUUUAUUUUCCUUGUGUCAAAGUAUAAAAAAUAUAAAAUAAAGAUUUCCUUUUCCUACUCUGUUGACGAUGAGCCUGUACGGCAGCCUCCUCCGUCUGCCUGGAAACGUGGGGACUCGCUCUGGUAGGUCGGGGGCUUGUGCUCACACCGGAACGGGGGCUCCCUUGACCAAAGAGGGCCCCGAACCAUCUGUGCCUUUCCAGACGGUGCCAUGAGCGGCUCAGGUUCAAAAACAAAGUCUUUCCUGGUGAAGCCUUAGAUGGGCAUGACAGACACAAGGUCAGUCUGUUUCUGGGGCUUUUAGUGAUCCUUUAGGGACUUGCCUUUGAAGAGUGGGGGCCCCUUCACACCAUGAAGAUGGGAACAGUGGAAGGUUAAGAGAUUCAUAGGGUUCUGAGCCAACAGGGACCUUCUCUAUAGCCUAGUCCAAUCCCAUCAUUUUACAGAUGGGAAAACUGAGGUCAGGAAAAUGAAACAACUCACCCCGGUCACUUCUCAGAGGUCUGUCUAGUCCCUUUAGGUUGGGAAGUAUUCAGAUGUGGGUCCAGUGCUGGGCUCUAUGUGUACAUUGACUGAGAAGAUGUGCCAAGAAUACCAGCACGAUUUUAUCUCAUUUGAUUUUAGUUCUAGUCCUUCUUAGCUGUGUGAUCCUGAACCUCCCUGGACCUCAGUUUUCUCAUUUAUAAAAUGGAGGAGGGGGAAGAGAUGAUGGAUUCAAUGAACUCUAAAGUUCCUUCUAGUUCUAAAUUGACCAUCUGGUGGGCCUCCUGAGAACCUAGCUGCAGAAGAAGUAUAGAGAUCAUGAUCUUCAUUUAAUAGGUGAGGAAACUGAGGCACACAGUACACAAAGACUAAAGCUCAAAGAUGCACAUCACCCAGAAGGCUGGUGGCCUGAGGUGAGCAUCUAGGGAUGUGGGGAGAGGAUGUGGAUUAUGACCCUGUUUCAGGCAGGGAGGGCUCCUGGCAGGUGAAACUGACCACCUCCAGCAUUUCCCUAGUAGAUAAGUCAUUGAAGGGUUUGAAGCCCAAGGGACAAAUGCUCCAAAUCAUUCAUCAGAAGAGACAAAAAUUCAGAGAACUCCAAGGGACUACCUCACCCCUGUCGGUCAGACCAAAAUGAAAAAUGG
rnacentral:lncRNA from 1 species